rnacentral:rRNA from 1 species
UAGUGGCGAACGGGUGAGUAACACGUGGGCAAUCUGCCCUUCACUCUGGGACAAGCCCUGGAAACGGGGUCUAAUACCGGAUAACACUCCUGCCUGCAUGGGUGGGGGUUAAAAGCUCCGGCGGUGAAGGAUGAGCCCGCGGCCUAUCAGCUUGUUGGUGAGGUAGUGGCUCACCAAGGCGACGACGGGUAGCCGGCCUGAGAGGGCGACCGGCCACACUGGGACUGAGACACGGCCCAGACUCCUACGGGAGGCAGCAGUGGGGAAUAUUGCACAAUGGGCGAAAGCCUGAUGCAGCGACGCCGCGUGAGGGAUGACGGCCUUCGGGUUGUAAACCUCUUUCAGCAGGGAAGAAGCGAAAGUGACGGUACCUGCAGAAGAAGCGCCGGCUAACUACGUGCCAGCAGCCGCGGUAAUACGUAGGGCGCAAGCGUUGUCCGGAAUUAUUGGGCGUAAAGAGCUCGUAGGCGGCUUGUCACGUCGGUUGUGAAAGCCCGGGGCUUAACCCCGGGUCUGCAGUCGA